rnacentral:rRNA from 1 species
UACGUAGGGUGCAAGCGUUGUCCGGAAUUAUUGGGCGUAAAGAGCUCGUAGGCGGUUUGUCGCGUCGGCUGUGAAAACUCGGGGCUCAACUCCGAGCUUGCAGUCGAUACGGGCAGUCUAGAGUUCGGCAGGGGAGACUGGAAUUCCUGGUGUAGCGGUGAAAUGCGCAGAUAUCAGGAGGAACACCGGUGGCGAAGGCGGGUCUCUGGGCCGAUACUGACGCUGAGGAGCGAAAGCGUGGGGAGCGAACAGG